AAAUUGAAGAGUUUGAUCAUGGCUCAGAUUGAACGCUGGCGGCAGGCCUAACACAUGCAAGUCGAACGGUAACAGGAAACAGCUUGCUGUUUCGCUGACGAGUGGCGGACGGGUGAGUAAUGUCUGGGAAACUGCCUGAUGGAGGGGGAUAACUACUGGAAACGGUAGCUAAUACCGCAUAAUGU
rnacentral:rRNA from 1 species